AGCUCAGACAUCAAGUUUCCACCAAAUCAAAGCACCCUUUCCUAAUAGUCGGAGCUACCUGUUCACAUAUUAUUCCUACAGAUUCAGCAACAUUAUCGCGCAAAGCAAGCUCAAAUUCCAUGGCAGUCGAGAGGAUUUUCUCGACCGAUGAAACGAACAUCAAUCAACGAUGUGGAACUGAUUCCAUCGACGUUUCCAUGGAGUAGAUAACAAAAACAACAACAACAACGAGUGUUUUGCUAGAACAGAAGACAAGCAGAAGCAGGUUGAUCACAAGCGUAGAAGAAGAGUUCUUCAAUUUUCCAUACAGAUCUUCAAGUCGUGUUGGGACGCGACUGCGAGCUGCCAAUCCGAUGAGUGUGUUUCUGCCACCGGUGCGGGAUCGUCACGGAUGCCACGCUGCCUUGAGAUCAGUUCCGGAAUCCAAUGGUGGAAAGUCUUGGAAAGGGGGAAGGCUAUUCCAAGUUUGAAGUCUACGUAUUGCGAUGGGUGUGGGUAGUUAGUUCUCCAAGCCCAGAGAUGAAAAGAUUCGGUCCAGUGCGAGGCCGAGGUCGCGCGGCGGCCAGUAGUUUCCCCUACUACACAGCAAAAUCCCCGGAGAACACCCCACCACACCACUCGCUCGCCGCGCCAUCGAAGGCCAUUCCCCGCACAACGAUCCUCAUACGCCCCGUCCUUUUCUCCUCCUGCAGAUAAUAAUAACCUGCAUGUGUGAAUGGGAUGCACGGUGGGUCCUGUACACCGGGGACGGUACCGGAGUGUCUGGUAGCAUCGUGAAGGCUUCUGAAACUAAACAGGCUCCUGCACUCGAAUCGUGACUGAAUACCAGCUCUCGUAGAAUCUUCGGUAGCCUUGUAUGUGAACCUGUAUAGGCGGUUACACAUACGUGGGAGCUAGUGGUGGGAGAUAUUUGGGAGGGCGUAGGAGCAGUUGUUACGGUUUUGCACAUGAAUAGAAAUGCGCCACAGAAUAGCUUCUGUAGUGGAACCAAUAUUCUAGGAGGAUUCCAGCUUCCAGGGAUUGGGACUAGAUUUGGUUUAAACUCAGGUAGGAGGCCAUGAUGGGCUCCAGCAUUCCUCCUUCAGCCGAGUCGCUGUGGAUCGUCACAUGACAGCUCUUUUAUCGCUCACCUGUCCUUUUGGCAAAGUCUAAGACGGCCCUAAACCACUUUGCUGCUUCUGGUUAUCUUUCUAGCUGAAUUCGUCUUCAUGAGCUUUUGUCUCAGCCAAGGUGGGUUGUGUUGCUUAGAGGUCGCCCACGAACUUUGCCGUAGUUUUUCUUUAUUUUUCUUCUCUUUGAACCCAGGAACUGCUUACACUAUACAGCUUCUUGAUCGAAGUACAAGGCGGACGUGUCAUCUUGACGUUGCUGCUUCCAUAAUUCCACCCACCGCACAACGAGUAAUGCAUGUGUUUAAUGCGGAUUAGGAUGACUUGAAGGCGCUGCGAGUCAUGCACGCGCUCCUGUAAUAAUGCCGGAUGCGACUUUGAUCAGUUUCUUCAAACUUUGAUCAAUUGAUAUGCAUUGGGAAGAAGAUCUAUUUCCUAAACAAUCAUUUUUUAUUGCGUUGAGCAGGGAAGCCUGCCCGGGAGGGUUCUGUACCUUUGCGACGCUUCACCUUGCUUGCCACCUUAGUCGACUAAUAGGUGCUGGCACUGUUCCGGGUGUUGUGAUCGUGUUCACUUCGGGUUGCAUGCACAAUGGGGGAACUUUGUUAGAGUGUGUUCAUCAAAGAUAUCCGGUAUACGCGAACUCACAAUUUCGACACCAACAAAGUACCAUGUUCACGCUGUUGCCGCUGAGGUACGAGAGGGUUCAGAGCAUUAUACCUGGACUUCCCCAAUUACGCAGCGAUAGGGUCGCUAUGUUGUAGAACUUCUUCUAUACAAUUGCACUCGCGGACCAUCAUAUCUCUUCCCUAGUGUAGACAGUCCAGUGUGGCCAUGGAGAAUCUGAUUAGUUUGCAAAGCGUAGGACACAGGAACAUCGGGGAACCCUCGGCUCCGAGGCCCAUUGGAGUUCACCAGGGAUCUGUACUCGUGGUCUUGGAUGUUAACAAGGGCGUCGCUCCAGCGGCUCUGUACUGGGCUCUUGCUAACGUCGUUCGGAAAGGAGACAAACUCAAAUUACUGGGAAUCAUCACUCACGUUUCCAAUGCCAUGGGAUUCAUGAUACGGGUGGAUCAGUCAACCUGGAAUAGUCCCAAUAUCAUGGAGCUCCAGUUUGAGAUCGCCACGAAGAAGGAGGCCAUCUGGAGAACGGCUCACAUUAAAGAUUGGUGUCAGAGAGCAGGGGUGAAGCUAGAGGUGGACGUGAAGGCUGGAAACAAUCCUAAAGUGAUCGCCAUCGACGAAGCAAAAUCAAUAGGCGCUUAUCACGUGGUUCUGGACAAGCACAUGAAGAAAGACAAAAAAUACUUCGUCGACAACCUGUCUUGUUUGGUUUCCCGGAUUCGCAGCAGCGGAGGGGCAGAGACCAUUCGCUCGUACGCAACGAGCAGUAAGCUUCCCCCCAUGGCGCCCACCACACCUAAGGGAUCAUCACAAGCUGGACACCAAUCCAAGGCAUCGAUGGGCUUGAAUGGCUCUCACCGCGGCGGGUGGUCUAUGUCGUCCACAUCUUUCGAGCUUGGCGGAGAUUCAAGCUGUGAUGAAUUCAGCUUCCAAGAGGUUACUGAUCCUCUGUCCGCACCCAGUACUGACGAAUCCAUCGAGCGACCGUCUUGCCCGGAUAUCUCGCAGCUCUUGGCUCGCACAUCUAUGGAGUUGGGUGUACCCAAACAGCCUCCGAAUCUGUAUAACCUACUCCGCGGGCCAUUUCAUGAUGGCGAAAAUGGAUUAAACAAGAACAACCCUUUACGCAAACCAGCUGUUCGGAAGUGGUUGAAUGAAGAUGACCGCAUCAAUGUGUCCGAUCUUGAGCAGCAGGGACCCUUAACUCCUAGAUCCGAGUUUCGGUUUGAGCAAAGGCCAUCUACAGCUAGAGGGCCACAAAGAGUUCACCACCAGCAAAUAAUGAGCAACAGUUGGAUCGGGCAAAUAAAUGUAGCCCCUGAAUUUGGCCAGAGCAAGAUGGGCCGGCAUACACUCACUGCUCAGCUGCGAACCCAAGCGUCCUUCAACAAUGGUCGGAAACAUUUCCGAGCAGAGAAGAUCAGUAUGGACAUGCACUGGCCCCUCAUGCAUUGGGCAGAUUGCCGAGCCAUGAAAUUGCGGUCACGGCAUGGGACCGGUAGUGUUGUGUCCUCUUCCAACAGCUCCAUGAGCAACUUGCGCACUGCAGUGCGACGCAGAGUCUCUGUGUCAUCAGGUCUCAACUACAGUGACAUGGUAGAUUCUGACUAGCUGCUUUUUCCAGCACUUGUAGGAAAAAAUGUUGUUUAAAUGUUUUCUUUAUAUUUUUUCUGGGGACCCAGUAAGAGCAGUUUCCAUCAGUUCCAAGGACGAGACGGUGAAUCUAGCCUUGCAGCUCACAGUCAAAAAUACCUCUCAACGGUUCGAUCACAAAUAACCAUCUGGCUGCAGAACUGCUAGUCGCAGCUCCCUCCUGCUUUGAGUUCUCUGCAUCAUGGAAUAGCACGUCAUUUCAUGGCCGGACAGGUCUUGGAUUUGUUUCUAGAUCUGGCGAGCUACAGUGCUGGAGUCUGUGUGGAUCUCCGAAGGGCACUACCCGUCUUUCACAUACUGAAAAAAAGAAAAGAAAAAGACACCUUCGGCUGGAGUUGGCGAAGCACACUACCUCCAAAAUUGAAGCAUUCAUUUCAGUGCAUGAACAGGCCGCGCAGCAUGAAUUAGGGUUCAAGACUGGUCCUAGGCAAUCGAGCUCAAAAAGCGACUACUAUCUAAUUAAUUUAGCUAAAAGAUGCUUCGGACUUGAAGGAUUUCCAGUCAUGUUCGGAAAUGCAGCUUGUGAAGUCUUACACCUAUGUUGGAAGGAUGGUGCGCAACAACACCUUGAACAAUCAACAGGUCCUGGAUGUGUUUUCAACACCUUCAGUUGUACAAUUGAUUAGCGAUACGAUCUUUUUAAGUAGUAGGCAGUCGAGCUGACAUGCAGUGACAUCAAGGUGAUCGAAGAAACGGGUUAUCCAGGCAGGAUUAAAUCUGCUGUCAAGGAGACUAAGGAAUGAGAUCCUAGAUGCACUUUUUUGUCACUUACAUUGAUGUAUUGGAAAUAUCAUCACAAAUCGGAGCAGUCCAUGUUUAGAUCCUAACACCUCAUUGUAAAGAACAGAACAAAACACAAGAUAGAUUACUGAAAGUCACGGCUUUUAACUUGAGAUUAGAAUUUCCCAACCAUGAGCAGGAAGAUACACCAUAUGGCCGAGUUGUGAACUGUUACGGAUUCACACAGACAUUCAUAACACGUUACGUGUUGUCAAGUUUUUUCAGCAAUGCAGAAUCUCCAUGGCAGCAAUGUACGUUGAAGCUACACACACUUUCUUGAUAA